AAAGGCAGUGAUGAACGAGAAUGUCAUGCACCACUCUGAUAUUAGUGCUGAUAACCAUCUCUAACCCAUAUUUUCUCUGAGCCUUU
rnacentral:snoRNA from 1 species